GACGAACGCUGGCGGCGUGCCUAAUACAUGCAAGUCGAGCGCAGGAAAUCGACGGAACCCUUCGGGGGGAAGUCGAUGGAAUGAGCGGCGGACGGGUGAGUAACACGUAAAGAACCUGCCCUCAGGUCUGGGAUAACCACGAGAAAUCGGGGCUAAUACCGGAUGGGUCAUCGGACCGCAUGGUCCGAGGAUGAAAGGCGCUUCGGCGUCGCCUGGGGAUGGCUUUGCGGUGCAUUAGCUAGUUGGUGGGGUAAUGGCCCACCAAGGCGACGAUGCAAAGCCGACCUGAGAGGGGGAUCGGCCACACUGGGAAUGAGACACGGCCCAGACUCCUACGGGAGGCAGCAGUAGGGAAUCUUCCACAAUGGACGAAAGUCUGAUGGAGCAACGCCGCGUGAACGAGGAAGGCCUUCGGGUCGUAAAGUUCUGUUGUAAGGGAAGAACAAGUGCCGCAGGCAAUGGCGGCACCUUGACGGUACCUUGCGAGAAAGCCACGGCUAACUACGUGCCAGCCGCCGCGGUAA
rnacentral:rRNA from 1 species